rnacentral:rRNA from 1 species
GAUGAACGCUGGCGGCGUGCCUAAUACAUGCAAGUCGAGCGAACAGAUACGGAGCUUGCUCCUUUGACGUUAGCGGCGGACGGGUGAGUAACACGUGGGUAACCUACCUAUAAGACUGGAAUAACUCCGGGAAACCGGGGCUAAUGCCGGAUAACAUUUAGAACCGCAUGGUUCUAAAGUGAAAGAUGGUUUUGCUAUCACUUAUAGAUGGACCCGCGCCGUAUUAGCUAGUUGGUAAGGUAACGGCUUACCAAGGCAACGAUACGUAGCCGACGUGAGAGGGGGAUCGGCCACACUGGAACUGAGACACGGUCCAUACUCCUACGGGAGGCAGCAGAAGGGAAUCUGCCGCAAUGGGCGAAAGCCUGACGGAGCAACGCCGCGUGAAUGAUGAAAGUCUUCGGAUCGUAAAACUCUGUUAUUAGGGAAGAACAAAUGUGUAAGUAACUGUGCACGUCUUGACGGUACCUAAUCAGAAAGCCACGGCUAACUACGUG